rnacentral:rRNA from 1 species
AAUGAACGCUGGCGGCAGGCCUAAAACAUGCAAGUCGAACGCCCUAGCAAUAGGGAGUGGCGCACGGGUGAGUAACACGUGGGAAUAUGCCUUUUGGUACGGAACAACAUCUGGAAACGGACGCUAAUGCCGUAUGGUCCCUUCGGGGUAAAGAUUUAUCGCCAAAGAUUAGCCCGCGUCUGAUUAGCUAGUUGGUGAGGUAAUGGCUCACCAAGGCGACGAUCAGUAGCUGGGCUGAGAGGACGAUCAGCCACACUGGGACUGAGACACGGCCUAGACUCCUACGGGAGGCAGCAGUUAGGAAUAUUGGACGGUGGACGCAAGUCUGAUCCAGCCAUGCCGCGUGAGUGAUGAAGGCCUUCGGGUUGUAAAGCUCUUUAGUCCACGAUUAUAAUGACUGUAGUGGAAGAAUAAGCCCCGGCUAACUUCGUGCCAGCCGCCGCAGUAAGAC